GACGAACGCUGGCGGCGUGCUUAACACAUGCAAGUCGAACGGAAAGGCCCCUUUGGGGGUCCUCGAGUGGCGAACGGGUGAGUAACACGUGAGUAACCUGCCCUUGACUUCGGGAUAACUUCAGGAAACUGGGGCUAAUACCGGAUAGGAAUCCUUGCUGCAUGGUGGGGGUUGGAAAGCUUCGGCGGUUUUGGAUGGACUCGCGGCUUAUCAGCUUGUUGGUGGGGUAGUGGCUUACCAAGGCUUUGACGGGUAGCCGGCCUGAGAGGGCGACCGGCCACAUUGGGACUGAGAGACGGCCCAGACUCCUACGGGAGGCAGCAGUGGGGAAGAUUGCACAAUGGGCGGAAGCCUGAUGCAGCAACGCCGCGUGCGGGAUGACGGCCUUCGGGUUGUAAACCGCUUUCAGCAGGGGCGAAGCUUGUGGUGACGGUACCUGCAGAAGAAGCACCGGCUAACUACGUG
rnacentral:rRNA from 1 species